rnacentral:rRNA from 1 species
GAUCAUGGCUCAGGACGAACGCUGGCGGCGUGCUUAACACAUGCAAGUCGAACGAGAAUCUGUGGAAAGAGGAUUCGUCCAAUUGAAACAGAGGACAGUGGCGGACGGGUGAGUAACGCGUGAGGAACCUGCCUUUCAGAGGGGGACAACAGUUGGAAACGACUGCUAAUACCGCAUGACACAUUGAGGUCGCAUGGCCUUGAUGUCAAAGAUUUAUCG